AUUGUUUUUGCAUUUGUUCGGUAAUGCGUUGCUAAUUGCUAGGGGAGGCUAGGGAUAGCAAGCCGGUAAUUAGUAAUAGGCUCUUUUCGCUGAGGGAUCGGGUUAAGGGUAGGCCAAGAAAGUUUGCAUAACAAUUAGAUAAUCAAGCACAUUAAACAAGAGGAGUAGAUAAGAGGGAGCGAAUAAGAUGAAAUUGUCAACCCCCA
rnacentral:lncRNA from 1 species